rnacentral:sRNA from 1 species
GGGGUUUGGUCGGGUCCUUGCUGUGUGAGACACUGUUAGAGCAUUCUAGUGGGUUGUACUACUCAACUCCAAGAGAUGGAUGAGGUGCCUCUGCAGCAGACUUUGGAGAAAGAUGAUGCUACUGCUUAGUCUCCAUAGGAUUCUAUCCGUUAUUCCUUAUAUUUUGAAAUACUCUAAUAUGCUUAAGUUUUAAAUUCUGACUCCUUAUCGAAUGACUGUAAGCUUAACAAACUUACU